rnacentral:lncRNA from 1 species
CACUAAGCUCCGCCCCGCGCGCUCAGCGUCCUGAAGGAGAGGGCGGGCCUGAGUCUUGGAGCUCCUCCUACUACACCAAGUGCUUUGAAUCCUGGGUUCGUCAGAAAAGCUCUAGAAAACGCCCUAGGAGUUAGAGCAAACUUGACCGUGAUCCAUUUUUCCUUAUAGUCAGACGGGACAGCUGGGAAGAAACUAUGAAAAACUGUGAAAGAAAGUCUUAGCGCGUUCACCUCCCGCACUCCUACCAGAACUACACUCGCACCCGCAGGGACGAAAGCAUCUCUGACUUUAUUCGGUACUAAGUCCAAACGGUGCUAAGAGAAACCCGGGAAGUGGUGGUGACAAGACACUGAGAACUGGGGAAGGAGACGAAAAACUCACCAACCGAAGCAUUGCAAACACUGGGACCUCGCAGAGAAGAGUAGCUGACCAGUGGCAGAACUCCAGUGUUUCUGGGUCUCAUGACCGAAUCCUAUCUAAAUAUCGCACCACUGAGUCUUUACAGUUAAUCAAGUCUUAAGAGUUGGAAGCAGUGGUCGGUGAAAAAAAGGCAAAGGUAUUUCAGAUAUUGAUUAUAGCCAUCAAUCAAAGGACACCCUCUCAUAUGCUUCCAAAAGCUCAAGUAAGCAAGGAUUUUUCUGUAUUAAUAAUUUGAGCACCCCCAUUAGGUCAGUUCCUAAUUCAGUAUACAGGGGCAUCAUAUUUUUAAAAUAAUUUACAGCGUGAGAAUUAGCAUUCACUGAUUCACUGAGUGCACAAUCUUUGAUAUUAUUCUUAGAUGAAUCAUGCGAAGUUUUUAUUUACAGAAGAGAAAACUAAAGUUGAAAAAGAUUGGUGAUAUAUGUGUAACAUAAGUUAUAGGACUACAAUAAAAGCCCAGUUCUAUUCCA